rnacentral:pre_miRNA from 1 species
AUCAUCUGAAAUCUUGUUAAAAUGCAGAUUCUGAUUUAUUAAGUCUGGAGUGGGAUCCAAGAUUCUGCAUUUCCAACAAGCUCCUAAAUGACGCUGA